rnacentral:rRNA from 1 species
UACAUGUGGGGCAAGCGUUGUUCGGAAUUACUGGGCAUAAAGGGUGCGUAGGUGGCUUGUUAAGUCAGGGGUGAAAGUUUUCGGCCCAACCGGAAAAUGGCCUUUGAUACUGGCGAGCUCGAGUGCGUGAGGGGUAACCGGAACGAGCAGUGUAGCGGUGAAAUGCGUAGAUAUUGCUCGGAAGGCCAACGGCGAAGGCAGGUUACUGGUACGCAACUGACACUGAGGCACGAAAGCGUGGGGAGUAAACAGG